AAAUCUAUGAGUUUUUAUGCCCCCGCCAUGUAAUGGCCGGGGCAUAUAGUGUUACCCUGUUCCGUCAUUCCGUCCUUCCGUCCUUCCAUCCUUCCGUCCUUCCGUCCUUUCCGUCCUUCCGUCCUUCCGUCAUUCUGUCAUUCCGUCAUCAUCAGUUUCCGUUCAUUAUCUUAAGAACGGUUGCACACAUUCAACUCAAAUUUGACAUAUGGAUAUAUCAUGAGAAAAUACAGGUCAAGUUCGAAUUUGGUCAUGGUUCGAUGAUUUUUGGCAGAGUUAUGCCCCUUUUACUUUGAAAAUAAUAUGAAAUUUUCAGUUUCCGUUCAUUAUCUCCCCAACGGUACAACACAUUCAACUCAAACUUGACAUAUGGAUAUGUCAUGAGAAAAUACAAGUCAAGUUCAAAUUUGGUCAUGGUUCGAUGAUUUUUGGCAGAGUUAUGCCCCUUUUACUUUGAAAAUAAAAUGAAAUUUUCAGUUUCCUUUCAAAUUCUCCCCAACGGUACAACACAUUCAACUCAAACUUGACAUAUGGAUAUGUCAUGAGAAAAUACAGGUCAAGUUCGAAUUUGGUCAUGGUUUGAUGAUUUUUGGCAGAGUAUGCCCCUUUUACUUUGAAAAUAAUAUGAAAUUUUCAGUUUCCGUUCAUUAUCUCCCCAAUGGUUCAACACAUUUAACCCAAAUUUGACAUAUGGAUAUGUUUUUGGAAUGCCCAGGUCAAGUUCAAAUUUGGUCAUGGUUCAAUGAUUUUUGGCAGACUAAUGCCCCUUUCACUUUGAAAAUAAUAUGAAAUUUACAGUUUCUGUUCAUUAUCUACCCAACAGUGUUACAUAUUCAACUUAAAUUUUACAUAUAGAUAUGUCAAAGGAAUUGGCAGGUCAAGUUGGAAUUUGGUCAUGGUUUGAUGAUUUUUUGGCAGAGUUAUGUCCCUUUCACUUUGAAAAUAAUAUAGAUACAUCUUAGGAAUAAGCAGUUUAAGUUUGAAUUUGGUUGUGGUUCAAUGAUUUUAGACAAACUUAUCUU